rnacentral:lncRNA from 1 species
GGGCAACACUGAGCAUUGAGUGAGCGAGACUCCGUCUGCAAUCCCGGCACCCCGGGAGGCCGAGGCGGGCAGAACACUCGAGGUCAGGAGCUGGAGACCAGCCCGGUCAACAGGGCGAAACCCCGUCUCCUCCAAAAAUACAAAAACCAGUCAGGCGUGGCGGCGCGUACCUGCAAUCCCAGGCACUCGUCAGGCCGAGGCAGGAGAACCACGGGAGCCCGGGACAGGGAGGCUGCAGCGAGCCGAGACCACGGCAGUACAGUCCAGCCUCAGCAACAGAGGGAGACGGAAGGGAGGGGGAGGGGGAGGGGAAGGGAUGGAGUUUCACCAUUUCAUCCAGGCUGGUCUCGAGUUCCUGACCCCAAGUGAUCUGCCCGCCUUGGCCUCCCAAAGUGCUGGGAUUACAGGCGUGAGCCACCGUGCCCAGCCUAGCUCCUAAAAUUAAAGUUGAUUCCAUGCUGAUAAUGUUGAUCGCAAGCUUAGAUAGAAGUGCAGGUGCAGAAUAAAGACAAGACUCAUUCCUAUACCUACCCAGAGACAUCUGCAUACUUGACUCUUCCUUUACUCUCUUUUUAUUUUCAAACAUCCAAUUUGUCUUAUGUAAAAUGUAGAUUUACCAGGCAGCAGCUAGAGUCUCACAGGAAUGUAGCCAUUCGCCUUACCACCUGUCUGCCCUUUUUCCUAAAAGCCUUUCCCCCAUUUAAGGAAAUGUGUAAAUACUAAAUCCCCUGAAACUCUCUUGAGAAAAACAGCCACAGAUGUACCUGUGGCUUGUAUUUUUCCCGGAAGCACCCUCAAGCUGACUUAAUAAACCUCGAUGAUUGAGAUUUAUGCCUUGGUCAUUCUAUUCAGAUGUCAGAAGGACCCAUGGGAAGACUCAGAGAGAAAGGUCUGUAGGAAGAGGCUAAGGAGCCCAAUCUUCUCCCAGAAAAUGGACGCUUCGGGUGGUCAUGAAUUGUAGGGCUAUUGGUACUGGGGUGAGUAAAGAGGAAGAGAAAGAGAGCAAGGCCCCAAGGAGAAGGGGAAACAGGGAGGGAGGAAGGGGCCAUGCCCUGUCCUCCCCUCCUCCAGUGUCCCUGCCCCUCUCCAACUUCAGAAUUCCCAUUGCUCCUUGAGAACUCAGACACUAGCUUCCCCACCAAGGCCUCCUCCCUCUGCAUUCCCCCAGCCUGUCCAUUCUCGGUCACACUGACUCCGAGUCUGGUCAGCUGCCUGUAUGCCUGUCUCACCCAGUUAACUUAAAUUCCUUGGGGUCAGGAACAAUGCUUUCUUCUUAUUUUCCAUGCCACAGCUCCAGUUACUGUGACUGACACACAGAAAUAUUGGCUUGGAGUCGAUUAUCUCAGGGAUGCAGCUCAAAGUAAAUGUGUCUUGUAUAGAGUGGGCAUAGGGAUGCUUUAAUGAGGAACGAGCAAGUCCCAAGAGGAGCAAGGAAAACUUGAGCUGCAACCACUUUGCAUUUCAGAUGAUGAAUUAGAGCGGUUGUUAUCGAAUCUGCCACCAGAGGGCGAUCCAGGUAAAAAAGAUCUUCGGGCUACUCUUCAGCCCGGUGACCUGAUCUUCCCCCAAACUCAGAUCCUUGCUGCCUCCCAGAAACAGCAGACACCUAAGUCCAAUGUAGCUUGCCAGGAUCUCAGGGAAUGAAAUUUUAUAGUUUGCUGGCAUUUUCCUCAGGGGAGCAGAGGCAAGAAAACAAUCAAAUCCAAGUUUGCGCCACUGCACACCAGCCUGGGCGACAAAGCAAGACUCCCGUCUCAAAAAAAAAAAAAAAAGAAAAGAAAAGAAAAGAAAAGAAAAGAAAGAAAACAAUCAAAUCCAUGGUCUGCUGUUUACUGGAUGAAGAAUAAGACUGCCUAA